rnacentral:rRNA from 1 species
GGCGGACGGGUGAGUAACACGUGGGAACGUGCCCUUUGGUUCGGAACAACUCAGGGAAACUUGAGCUAAUACCGGAUGAGCCCUACGGGGGAAAGAUUUAUCGCCAUUGGAGCGGCCCGCGUCUGAUUAGCUAGUUGGUGAGGUAAAGGCUCACCAAGGCGACGAUCAGUAGCUGGUCUGAGAGGAUGAUCAGCCACAUUGGGACUGAGACACGGCCCAAACUCCUACGGGAGGCAGCAGUGGGGAAUCUUGCGCAAUGGGCGAAAGCCUGACGCAGCCAUGCCGCGUGAAUGAUGAAGGUCUUAGGAUUGUAAAAUUCUUUCAGCAGGGACGAUAAUGACGGUACCUGCAGAAGAAGCCCCGGCUAACUUCGUGCCAGCAGCCGCGGUAAUACGAAGGGGGCUAGCGUUGCUCGGAAUUACUGGGCGUAAAGGGCGCGUA